rnacentral:rRNA from 1 species
UACGUAGGCGGCAAGCGUUGUCCGGAAUUAUUGGGCGUAAAGGGAGCGCAGGCGGGAAACUAAGCGGAUCUUAAAAGUGCGGGGCUCAACCCCGUGAUGGGGUCCGAACUGGUUUUCUUGAGUGCAGGAGAGGAAAGCGGAAUUCCCAGUGUAGCGGUGAAAUGCGUAGAUAUUGGGAAGAACACCAGUGGCGAAGGCGGCUUUCUGGACUGUAACUGACGCUGAGGCUCGAAAGCUAGGGUAGCGAACGGGAUUAGAUACCUGGUAUCGGACUGACU